rnacentral:lncRNA from 1 species
GUAAAUCUAUUCCCUGUUACUCCACGUAACUAGCAGCAAAAGACUUCUCUUUAAGAUUAAUAGCAAAAUGUUUCCCCCCUUCUUAGUAAAAGUGACAUAAAAAUAUCAAUUCUUGCCUCUACGGUUACUGGGGAAAAAAAGCUACUCAGCAGCCUCUUACCACUAAAGCGAUGCAUAGUAUUCAUUGCUAAUUUUCGAUUUAUAAUCUGCAUCAAAUAAGAGUUUGUGCUGCAUAGUAUCGGUAGAAAUUAAGCCAGGAUCAGUUUGCUAAAUGUUCCAUGCCUUUUCACUGCAAGAAAGAGGAAAUUAUAACUAUUUCCAGCCCCAAGAACUUAAUUUAUUAUCAUAUUUAGUUAUGUAAGAUAGGAAUGUUUGGCUCUAACGAAGCAUCUGUCUUUAGCAAUCAGCUGAGUUCAUUAGAGGGGGAUGUCAAUGUCUCUGGUUGAAGUGUUCCAGUUUGUUGACUUGUGAGUUAAACUGGUGCUGUCUUAGAGAGCUACAAGGCCUCAGAGAAAUAUCAGUGGGGGGAGCCACAUACCACCAUUUUGUGAGGAAAGGCUAGUUAAAAUGGACAACUAAGAUGGCCUUGAAGUAGAAAACAAACUUGCAAAGG